AUGGCUCCUGGCUCACCGCUGGGCCUGGCCGGCCCCUCCUCCCAGAGACCCUGGGCCCAGUCCUGGCCCGGGACACAGGUUCCUGUCAGCAGACCAUUGAUCUUCCCCCUGAGGCCCUGCUGCAAGGACAGUGCCUCCAUGUCCUCCGUGACGCUGGCCUGCCUGGUCACUGCCUACUUUCCCAACUCGAUGGACAUCACUUGGAACACGGGGUCCCUGAUCGAGAACUCCUCCCUGACUUUCCCUGCCACCCAAAACUCAGCCUCUGGCCUCUUCACCAUCGUCAGCCAGAUGACUAUGUCUGGCGAGUGGGAUACACAGCAGGUCAACUGCAGUGUGACGCACACCAACGUCACCGAGGUGAAGACCUUCUCAGCCUGUGCCAGGAACUUCACCAGCCCAAGCGUGAAGCUCUUCCACUCCUCCUGUGACCCCAGCGGCGACACAAACACCCCCAUCCAGCUCCGGUGCUUCGUCUCCGGCUACCCCAGCACCCACAUCACGGUCACCUGGCUGGUGGACGGGCGGGAGGCAACCGACCUGUUCGUCAUCACGGCCCCUGCCACGCAGGAGGGCCAGCUGGCCUCUACCUACAGCGAGACCAACAUCACGCAGGGCGAAUGGGCGUCCCAGAAAACCUACGCCUGCCAGGUCACCUACCAAGGCCACAUCUUCAAGGACGAAGCCCGCAAGUGCACAGAGUCCGAACCCCGAGGCGUGAGCGCCUACGUGAUCCCGCCCAGCCCCCUGGACCUGUACGUCCACAAGUCUCCCAAGAUCAUCUGCCUGGUGGUGGACCUGGCAGAGGCCAACAGCGUGAGACUGACCUGGUCCCGGGAUGACAACACCCAAGUGCCCCAAGACCCACCGGUCACCAAGAAACACUUCAAUGCGACGUUCAGUGCCAUGUCCACCCUGGCGGUGGACGUCAAUGACUGGAUCGAGGGAGAGACCUACCGCUGCACGGUGGAACACCCAGACCUGCCCAGGAAGAUCGUGCGCUCCAUAGCCAAGGCCCCAGGCAAGCGCGCCACCCCAGAGGUCUACGUGUUCCCGCCGUCGCCAGAAGAGACCCAGGGCACCAAGGACAAGCUGACCCUCACCUGCCUGGUCCAGAACUUCUUCCCCGCGGACAUCUUCGUGCAGUGGCUGCACAAUGAGAGCCCCGUCCCCAUCGAGGAGCAGGCCACCACACAGCCCCGCAAGACCAGCGGCCCCAGCCCCGCCUUCUUCGUCUUCAGCCGCCUGGAGGUCAGCCGGGACGCCUGGGACAAGGACAAGUUCACCUGCCAGGUGGUGCACGAAGCCCUGCCCGGCUCCAGGACCCUGGAAAAGUCGCUGUCCAAGUCCCCUGGUAAAUGA